rnacentral:lncRNA from 1 species
AUGGCAUGGCGCCAAAAUGUGAAGCUGAUGCCCAACAAGCUCAAGGACGACGUGCUAGAGGACAAUCGGAUAAAGCCUCCACUGUUGAUGAUCUGCGGCAAGAGGGAUACUGGCAGCAGGGAGGGGAAAAGGGAAGAUGAAAAUUUGCCCGUUUCAGAAGGCAAGGGUGGAAGCAGAAUCAUGGGCCAGGUGCUGCACAGGCUCACAGGCACACACACUGCUUGCUUUGGCUUCCACCAGUGGAGACCUGGAGGCACCGAUGUGAGCAUAGCAGGCUGUCGUUGUUGGCGAAAGCCGCGGCAAGAGAGGAUGGCAGAGGAAGAAAGGUGAGGUACUGCAA